CGUUAAAUCGCCACCAUCAUCACAACACGACAUGCGAUUACAAAUUAUCAGCUGUGUUUACUAGUUGUUGUCUUGCGGCAAGAAUAUCUGCGAGAUUGUCAGCUUUAAAUAUAGGUUUUGAAUUUCAACCUUAGUCAUGAUAAUGUCAAAAAUCAUCCGCCCCACAAAUUUGAAAAAUUUUGCUCGAUAUUUGUCUUCUGUGCCGCAAGCUGCCACAAAUGCCAAAACCAAUGGAGGAUAUAACUUUGAGCUUAGUCCGGAGCAGAAAGAAAUUCAGCAAAUGGCCCGGAAAUUUGCAAGAGAAGAAGUACUGCCAAAAGCUGCUGAACAUGACAAAACUGGAAAA